rnacentral:rRNA from 1 species
UACGUAGGUGGCAAGCGUUGUCCGGAUUUACUGGGCGUAAAGAGCGCGCAGGCGGUCGUUCAAGUCGCGUGUGAAAGCCCCCGGCUCAACUGGGGAGGGUCACGCGAUACUGAUCGACUCGAAGGCAGGAGAGGGUAGUGGAAUUCCCGGUGUAGUGGUGAAAUGCGUAGAUAUCGGGAAGAACACCCGUGGCUAAGGCGGUUCUCUAGUACGGUACUGACGCUGAGACGCGAAAGCGUGGGGAGCGAACAGG